CCUACGGGAGGCAGCAGUGGGGAAUAUUGCACAAUGGGCGGAAGCCUGAUGCAGCAACGCCGCGUGCGGGAUGACGGCCUUCGGGUUGUAAACCGCUUUCGCCUGUGACGAAGCGUGAGUGACGGUAAUGGGUAAAGAAGCACCGGCUAACUACGUGCCAGCAGCCGCGGUGAUACGUAGGGUGCGAGCGUUGUCCGGAUUUAUUGGGCGUAAAGGGCUCGUAGGUGGUUGAUCGCGUCGGAAGUGUAAUCUUGGGGCUUAACCCUGAGCGUGCUUUCGAUACGGGUUGACUUGAGGAAGGUAGGGGAGAAUGGAAUUCCUGGUGGAGCGGUGGAAUGCACAGAUAUCAGGAGGAACACCAGUGGCGAAGGCGGUUCUCUGGGCCUUUCCUGACGCUGAGGAGCGAAAGCGUGGGGAGCGAACAGGCUUAGAUACCCUGGUAGUCCACGCUGUAAACGGUGGGUACUAGGUGUGGGGUCCAUCUACGGUCGUCGCGUAGCUACGCUUACGUACCCGUCCGUCGGGUAGGUACGGCCGCGACGGACGUAAACCUACAAGAAGUAGACGGCGUGAGACGUGCCGACGGCGACGACGAGGGAGUAGG
rnacentral:rRNA from 1 species